UGUCUGUGCUCGGACUCUACAGCUAGAGUAGACGGCUCCAUCCAUCACUCAAACUGUUUGUCAUUUCAGUGCUGAACCCAAAAGCUGCUCGGCAUCCUCUCCCAGCAAGGAGCACUGACUCAAAAGAAGGAUCCUGAGGUAUGAUGAAGCUACUCUUAUCUGUUGCCAUAGCAUGCCACACUCCUGUGAAGAUGCAGCCCACACUAAAAGCUAGUGUCAAGAUGUUAAGCUUUUUUUCAGACUGACGCAAGAUAGCCAUCGUCCGCCUCCCUCCCAGACCCUUGUGGACAGAGCUCAUCCCAGAGCACUAAGGGCGAGAAGUCUGGCUGUGUUUCGCCGGAUUCCCGAAGAGCAGCUCUCUGCUCAGGAUGGACGGUCUCGAGGCUGAUACCUCACCGAUUGCUACCCGAGCCCCCCUGACAGGACAUGUGUGGUAAUGGGCUGCUAGGUCCCAGACCUGUCACUGUGGAACCCUGCAGGGUGCACUCACAUAUGCAUCAUCACCAUCUGUCCUAAAAAUCAAUAUAGUUUCAAGAUGCAAAUAGUUUAAACAAGUUUGUGGCUAAAUAUAUUGCAUUUUAGGCUAAGAUUAUAUGUCAGAUAUUAGACGUGCAUCUACAGGAUUAUAUAAGAUACAAUUGCACUUACAGUAAAUAUACUAUGAACAAUGAUGGUUGAAGUGAACGUGUGGGGCCGUCCAAUAAAAUAGCAAGCUGGGACAUAAACACGAGGAGAAAGAUGAGUGGG